rnacentral:rRNA from 1 species
AGUGAACGCUGGCGGUAGGCCUAACACAUGCAAGUCGAACGGCAGCACAGUAAGAGCUUGCUCUUACGGUUGGCGAGUGGCGGACGGGUGAGGAAUACAUCGGAAUCUACUUUUUCGUGGGUGAUAACGUAGGGAAACUUACGCUAAUACCGCAUACGACCUACGGGUGAAAGCAGGGGAGCUUCGGACCUUUCGCGAUUGAUUGAGCCGAUGUCGGAUUAGCUAGUUGGCUGGGUAAAGGCCCACCAAGGCGACGAUCCGUAGCUGGUCUGAGAGGAUGAUCAGCCACACUGGAACUGAGACACGGUCCAGACUCCUACGGGAGGCAGCAGUGGGGAAUAUUGGACAAUGGGCGCAAGCCUGAUCCAGCCAUACCGCGUGGGUGAAGAAGGCCUUCGGGUUGUAAAGCCCUUUUGUUGGGAAAGAAAAGCAGCAGGUUAAUACCCCGCUGUUCUGACGGUACCCAAAGAAUAAGCACCGGCUAACUUCGUG